rnacentral:misc_RNA from 1 species
GUGAAUCAUCAAAUCUUUGAACGCAAAUUGCACUCUCUGGGAAUCGGAAGAGUAUGCCUGUGUGAGGGUCAGUUAAAAUAAAAAUCGGUGUGGUUGCUGCCUUUCGUGGUGACGCACCGGCUUAGUGUCGUCUUGCCUUCGGUUGAGUGACAUUAAAUUUUGUAUGAUUUUUUCGGACGUACUUAAAUUAUUUUAUGUACGUUUGCGAUUUAGAAUACUAGGUCCGGUUAUAUUCAU